CUUGGUGUUGUCAGCAGGAUAACAAAUCACUCUGUUCUGGAGCCUAUGGAUGAGAUUUUGGAGCAACUGAUCAAAGCCAGCAAAGAAAGCUACAAAGAUGAAAGACUACCUACAUACCUCCCUCGCAAUUUGCUCACGAGCAAAUUUUUUGUGGGCCCUCAAGAUCCUUACCCUAAAACAGUUCUGUUGAAUUUCACCCUGACAAUAACAAACAAUUUAUCUUCAGAAGAACGGGACAAAGGAUAGAACCAGAAGUCAUACCUCUGCUCACCUGAGACAAAUGCAUAUUUGACUGCUUCCUCUAUUCUGUUUACUUAUCUUAUGUAAAAACGUAGAUUCACUGAGCAUGAGACAAAUGCCUCUACCCUCUCCUUUCACAUGUAAAAUGUGGAUCCACUGAACGCUGAUGAAAUCUUCAAAAGAUUGCAACUUCUUGCCUCUUUCAUCUACACUUCUUUUCUCUCCUGCCCAUGUUUUCCCCUUUAAAUAUGGAAGCACUCAAAAUCCUCUUUGGAAAAAAAGUGUGGGCCACAGAUUCUAUUGUGGCUAGUGGCUUUUUUUCCUGGGUGUAUCAUCAACCUUGGCAAAAUAACUCUCAGUUGAUUGAGAUCUGUCUCAGAUACUUUUUGGUUUACAGCAUCAGCUGUCUGGACAUUUGAGUUUUUCAUAUUUUGU
rnacentral:lncRNA from 1 species